UUUGAGUUUUGUUUUUCUAGGUUAAAUUGGGUUAAAUUUGUUAUGUUGGUUUUAUGUUUUGUGUACAACAUUGCAUGUUUCUCUUUGAAUUUUGGGUUAUGUACAGGAAAUGGGUAAUUGUUUUCGAAAUAGGAGUUUCUUGGCAUUUUGUGAAUUGAAAUCCUUACCUUCUCUACAUGUCAAGUUAGUUAUGAAAGGUCGAAUUGAA
rnacentral:lncRNA from 1 species